GGUCACGGAGAGAUCAAUGGCGAAGAUGGGAAUGAAAUACAAACCUCCAGAAUCCCAGCUCUUUCCUAUAGAGCAUCACCAUGUUUCAGGAUCUGGGAACUCCCAACUUCUACUGAGCAGCGGGCCAGGUCUGGAAGCAGCCAUGGAAAGAAACCAAUGCUUGCAACAGUGAGAACUGAAAGAAAGCCGCUCGACUUCAAAGAAAAUGCUUCAUUGAGAGACUCAGACACUUGAGGAUGAGACUGGUCCUUCCACGUCUGUUGCUCUCAAUGAGGAUGAAAUUUUACAUGACUCCAACUAAUAACUAUAAACUGCCAUGACUGUUAACAGCA